rnacentral:rRNA from 1 species
GACUGCUAUCGGAUGAUACUAAGCCAUGCGAGUCUUGUAGUAAUACAAGGCAUACGGCUCAGUAACACGUAGUCAACCUACCCUAUGGACAAGAAUAAUCUCGGGAAACUGGGCAUAAUUCUUGAUAGGUCAUAAUGUCUGGAAUGGUUUAUGGUUAAAAUGAUUCGUCGCCAUAGGAUGGGACUGCGGCCUAUCAGCUUGUUGGUGAGGUAAUGGCCCACCAAGGCGAUUACAGGUACGGGCUCUGAGAGGAGAAGCCCGGAGAUGGGUACUGAGACACGGACCCAGGCCCUAUGGGGCGCAGCAGGCGAGAAAACUUUGCAAUGUGCGAAAGCACGACAAGGUUAAUCCGAGUGAUUUCUGCUAAAGAAAUCUUUUGCCAGUCGUAAAACCGCUGGUGAAUAAGGGGUGGGCAAGUUCUGGUGUCAGCCGCCGCGGUAAAACCAGCACCUCAAGUGGUCAGGAUGAUUAUUGGGCCUAAAGCAUCCGUAGCCGGCUUUGUAAGUUUUCGGUUAAAUCCAUGUGCUCAACGCAUGGGCUGCCGAAAAUACUGCAUAGCUAGGGAGUGGGAGAGGUAGACGGUACUCAGUAGGUAGGGGUAAAAUCCUUUGAUCUAUUGAUGACCACCUGUGGCGAAGGCGGUCUACCAGAACACGUUCGACGGUGAGGGAUGAAAGCUGGGGGAGCAAACCGGAUUAGAUACCCGGGUAGUCCCAGCUGUAAACGAUGCAGACUAGAUGAUGCAUUGGCAUAAUAGCCAUUGCAGUGUCUCAGGGAAGCCGUUAAGUCUGCCGCCUGGGAAGUACGUACGCAAGUAUGAAACUUAAAGGA